rnacentral:rRNA from 1 species
GGAAUCUUGGACAAUGGGGGAAACCCUGAUCCAGCCAUGCCGCGUGAGUGAUGAAGGCCCUAGGGUUGUAAAGCUCUUUCGCCAGGGAAGAUAAUGACGGUACCUGGAUAAGAAGCCCCGGCUAACUCCGUGCCAGCAGCCGCGGUAAUACGGAGGGGGCUAGCGUUGUUCGGAAUUACUGGGCGUAAAGCGCACGUAGGCGGCUAUCCAAGUUGGGGGUGAAAUCCCUGGGCUUAACCCAGGAACUGCCUUCAAAACUGGAUGGCUAGAGUCCGAGAGAGGUGAGUGGAAUUUCCAGUGUAGAGGUGAAAUUCGUAGAUAUUGGAAAGAACACCAGUGGCGAAGGCGGCUCACUGGCUCGGUACUGACGCUGAGGUGCGACAGCGUGGGGAGCAA